AACUAACGCUGGCGGCGUGCCUAACACAUGCAAGUCGAACGAGAAAGUUUGGCUUCGGCCGAUGAGUAAAGUGGCGCACGGGUGAGUAACGCGUGGAUAAUCUGCUCUUUAGUUUGGAAUAACGUACCGAAAGGUGCGCUAAUACCGGAUAAUACUGAAUGACUACUGUUGUUUAGUCAAAGAAGGCUUCUGUUUACAUGCUUUUGCUGAAGGAUGAGUCCGCGUACCAUUAGCUAGUUGGUAGGGUAAUGGCCUACCAAGGCGACGAUGGUUAGCUGGUCUGAGAGGAUGAUCAGCCACACUGGAACUGAGACACGGUCCAGACUCCUACGGGAGGCAGCAGUGAGGAAUAUUGCGCAAUGGGGGCAACCCUGACGCAGCAACGCCGCGUGAGUGAGGAAGGUUUUCGGACCGUAAAGCUCUGUCGAGCGGGAAGAAAUGCAUGGUGGCUAAUAUCCAUCAUGCUUGACGGUACCGCUAAAGGAAGCACCGGCUAACUCCGUG
rnacentral:rRNA from 1 species